GGCAAGAUGGCCGAGCGGUCUAAGGCGCCGUCUUCAGGACACCCACUGCGAAGUCUCCCACAAGAGUUUCUCCAUUGGUUCUUGAUUGGCGGUCCGAAAGGGCGUGGGUUCGAAUCCCACUCUUGUCA